rnacentral:rRNA from 1 species
GAUGAACGCUGGCGGCGUGCCUAACACAUGCAAGUCGAGCGAUUCUCUUCGGAGAAGAGCGGCGGACGGGUGAGUAACGCGUGGGUAACCUGCCCUGUACACACGGAUAACAUACCGAAAGGUAUGCUAAUACGAGAUAAUAUACUUUUAUCGCAUGGUAGAAGUAUCAAAGCUUUUGCGGUACAGGAUGGACCCGCGUCUGAUUAGCUAGUUGGUAAGGUAACGGCUUACCAAGGCGACGAUCAGUAGCUGACCUGAGAGGGUGAUCGGCCACAUUGGAACUGAGACACGGUCCAAACUCCUACGGGAGGCAGCAGUGGGGAAUAUUGCACAAUGGGCGAAAGCCUGAUGCAGCAACGCCGCGUGAGCGAUGAAGGCCUCGGUCGUAAGACUCUGUCCUCAGGAAGAGUAAUAGACGGUACUUGAGGAGGAAGCCCCGGCCUAACUACGUAGCCAGCAGCCGCGGUAAAGUACUACUAU